AUACUUACCUGGACGGGGUCAGUGAGCGAUCAAAAAGGCCCAUAGUCUAGGUUAGCAGCCUCCAUUGCACUUGGGAGGAGAGCUUGCAUAUCAGCUCAAGCAGGAGGCUGAACGUCAUAAUUUGUGAACGAGGGAGUAUUGGUUCACGCGGCCCUA
rnacentral:snRNA from 1 species